GACGAACGCUGGCGGCGUGCCUAAUACAUGCAAGUAGAACGCUGAAGGAAGGAGCUUGCUCUUUCCGGAUGAGUUGCGAACGGAUGAGUAACGCGUAGGUAACCUGCCUGGUAGCGGGGGAUAACUAUUGGAAACGAUAGCUAAUACCGCAUAACAGUAGAUAUCGCAUGAUAGCUGCUUGAAAGGUGCAAAUGCACCACUACCAGAUGGACCUGCGUUGUAUUAGCUAGUUGGUGAGGUAACGGCUCACCAAGGCAACGAUACAUAGCCGACCUGAGAGGGUGAUCGGCCACACUGGGACUGAGACACGGCCCAGACUCCUACGGGAGGCAGCAGUAGGGAAUCUUCGGCAAUGGACGGAAGUCUGACCGAGCAACGCCGCGUGAGUGAAGAAGGUUUUCGGAUCGUAAAGCUCUGUUGUAAGAGAAGAACGAGUGUGAGAGUGGAAAGUUCACAC
rnacentral:rRNA from 1 species